UGGUGGUGGUGGUGGUGGUGGUGGUGGUGGUGGUGAUGUUGUUGUUGUUGUUUGAACCCUCUUCCUGUUCUCCAUCUAACUCCAGGUUCCCAUUGCUUCUGGGUUCUUCCAUACACACCCCUCCACCCGUCCCUGGUUACCCCCACCCCAUUCUUCAGCUCUCACCACAGAACUUUAUAGUCAGGGGAUUAUCUGGCCGAAUCCCUUUAUUUAAAGAGCAAGGUCGCUGGAAUCCAAGACAUGACUUAGCUUGGUGACCUUGGCCCGGAUGCCUCAGGCAGAACCGGGCCUGCAGUGAAAGUCUCUUGGCACUGGGUUCCUUGGGCUUUGCCAGCUCCAGCUGAGUGCCCAGAUAAUUUCACCUCCUCAUGAGGAACACACCAAAUCUCUUCCCGGCUUCCCAGGCCUCCGUGACGACUACCUCCUCUACCAAAGCUCACUCAUUCCCCCAGCAGGUACCAGGAUUCAUAGGGACCCAAGUCCACCUCAGAAAACUCCCUCCCUCCCCACCCCUACCCAAAUCCUCUACAACUUCCAGCUUCCCCAGUGUUUCCUCCCCACACCCCUGUGGCCUGGCUUGGCUCUGCCCUCUUCCUUGCCAUGUGUCUGCUUCUGCCUGCUCACCUCGGGCUUUCUUUCCACUCAUGAAGCCAUCCCAGACUCCACCUCUCCUACACUGCAGUGUGCCCUGUGGUCUUGGGUCCUGGCAGCUGAGGCAGCAUUCUGGCCCCAUCAGUCUCCGGCCAUGGAGCCAAAUUCCUUCUAGAAAGGCAGUGUUGUGAUGAGAGGGAUAUUGAAAAUGGCAUGGGUAAGAACUCGGUGUCAAGAGCUCCUGAGCGCUGGGAUGACCCAGCUUGUGACCUGCAAACCUGCAAUGUUGCCUUUGGACCCAGGAUGGGAGGAGUAGUGCCUUCCUUCCCAGUGGAGAUUCCACUCACCGAGAGUAAGCUCCUUCCCACCGCCCACCCUCUCAUCUCCAGUGAAUCCUUUAAACUGUUGGUUCACCUGCUCUGCUUGAUGCCUGGCUCAGACCCUAUCCCUGCAGACAAAAGGCUCCUGCGUGAUUGAUGAUGACAGUGACCUGCCACUGACCCCCUGCUCAACCUGGGUCCUGCUGCUACACACAAGGCCCUCGGUUCAGCAGCCCCCACGGUUUGAAAUGCCGAUACCUGCUUCUUGGACUGUUGAUUUUCCUCAUCUUGCCAAGUAGAAUCUUACUGAGAGGAUCCAGUCGGGUGAUGGGAAAGCUCUUAGCCCAGUGUUGUUACAUUGUAACUACUCAGUAAAUGAUAGGGUGGGGGAGGAUAACCCUGUGAAGGCAGCGGUUGUACACAAGGACCAAUCCCACCCUGCUUCCUUCCAGCAAUGAUGGCAUACCAAGCAUGCCUCCCCACUAUCAUCCUGCCCACAGCUUUCUACUUUGCUGCCUCCCUGCCCGGAGCUUCUCUAGCUGGCUCUUAGGGCCGGCCAGGCCCCUGGAGCAGCCUCCUCCUCAGCGCUUACUGUCAUUGGUUACUUGGGGUAUUUGCUGACUGGGCUCGCUCUCCUUGCAGAAGAAUCUGUCACCACUAAACCACCAAGCAUUCUCAUGCCAUAACUUUAAAGCCAUUUAUUUACUCAUUUACUUCCACUUAUUUGCCAAGUCUUCAAGAAAAGAAAAGAGAGAAAAAAAGAAAAAGAAAAGAAAGAAAAAAGACAGAGAGAAAGAGGAAAAAACUGAUUGAAGUGACUUCCUGAUGAAGCGCACAGUGACCACCAGUUGAAAUAAACAACAGGUAAAAGAAAGCCCUCUCAGGCCCCUUGCUGCCAUUUUUAACAGCGACAAUGCAGGUUCUGAAACCUGCAUGGGAAGCAGCCUGGAGCGCAAGAAUCAGGAAUCUGACAGCACCCUCUUGCCGCUGUUUCUGCUUAUGCUGGGUAAACGGUAUUGGAAAAGAAGGGGUGUGCAUGCAAGAAAGCAGAAAAUAGAAAGGUGCAGCAUUUAGCCAGAAAGGAGGUUUGGCCUACCAAAAUCCCAGCCCUGCCAGUCAACCAUCUCCAAGAGUCAGUCUCUCCCCCCCCCCCCCUUUUUCUUCUUCCUCUCUCCCAUACCCCCUCUCUACUUUCUUGUCUCUUCCCUCUCUCUCUGUUUUCCUGCACCUCUCCAACUGUGGAGGACUUCAAUGACAUCAGAAAUAAGAACGAGGGUGUGUGUGGGGGUGGGGGGGUAAAAGCCCAGGAGAAAUGAAAAUUGUAAAGCCAGGCAGAACGGUGCAUGCCAAGGAAUUUUGAGUCCAGCCUGGGCUACAAAGAAAGACCUUGCCUAAAAAGGAAGGGGGAAGGAAAGAGAAAUAAAAUACUCUGAAGGAGGAACGAGACAAGCCUGCUCAAGAACAUCUAAGAACCUUCCACGGACAGCUGGCCUUGGGAAGGCGAUGGGGAGGAGGGGGAUUUCCCAGGCUUUGAUUCCAGAGCGCCUGUGGGACAAGGAAAGUUCCCCUGAAAGAGCCCCACAGAUGUGAAUACAUCUGUACUCCGUUCUUCAUCCCGAACGCUGGCAUCCUGCCGCUGGCAACGGAGCGCUGUGGGCAGAAGGACGAAGAAAAAGGUCUAAGAACUAAAACAUGGACCCGACACCAGAAGGGCUCCUCUCUUCUCCCUUGAGCGAAAUGAGCUGAGGGAGAAAAAGGGGGGAGGGGGAGCGUGGUCCAAGCCUACUGAGUCGCUGAGUGAAAUUACAGGGCCCUGCGAGGGAUGAUUAACGGCCCGCAUGGUUUUCUGCUUCAUAGCCAUUACUCACUGCAAACCUGGGGCUUCUCGGUUACAUAGCCCGGCACAGGCCGACCAUUUUUUCCAUUGACUGAAAACACAUUCUGACUGAAAACAAACUUUGGAUCCCCGAGGCUUGGCAGGCCCUGGGUCCUUCUCCAUAUUUAAUCAACGGGAAGCUAAACACUUUCAAUCUACGAUGGCUCAUUUGGACGGGGUCUCGGGGCUUUUGCUCGGUGCCAGAUAUAAUAACUCUCCUCUCUCUUUUCUAAGGCCUAUUUUAUAAUUUUGCUGUUUUUCAAUGUCAAGCCCAUCUUUUGAAGAAUUUUUAUUGGAUUUCCUGCUAGACUUCAACAAGGAUUUUUCUUGCUUUGGCAGAAAUAUCAAGCAGAAGAGGGGAAAAACUCAAUCAUCGUCUUGGAAAGUCAGGAUGGUGCUCGCGCAUUGGGCCGGAGGAGGCGGGGUGGCUUUGUCUGUUUGCACACAGACAGGUUUCUAGAAGGCUGGAGUCCCCAUCACCAGCUUCCAGGGUCCCUCUACCUUCAGAAUCACGGGGUGAAAGUUGACAAGGCAGGGUGAGGGUGACGGACGGGCACAAGUAGAAAGUUGGAGCUGGACAAGAAGACUCUGAGUAUGGCAGCCAGCCAGAGGGUAGGUAGGCACAGCUCUAGGAGAUCUGGGCACAGGCUAUGACACCCCUGGAUGUGACUGUUUGUAGAAAUCAAACACCAAACAUCCUUCGGUGUUCGGGAACACCGAAGGAUGGGGAGACAUUCCCCAUGUGAGAGACAGCAAGCUGCCUCUUCCAAGACCGGGUGGGGAGGCAUGGCCCAGAGGUGUCCAUUCACCACACUGUCUGCUCCCAGCUCAAGGCAACAGCAGAGGCUUGAUUUUUCCUUUAUAAAGCUUGUUCCCCAGGAGAAGCAGCUUGCCAAUGAAUGACAGCUUUUGUUUGCUCAUGUUUUCCUCUCCUCCCAGAGUCAACUCUCAGAAUAUACCAGAAUGUUCCUUCACA